CAAACCAUUAUUUAAAUUAAAGUUGAUUAAAAUUUUUUAUAAUUUCAGUACUUUCUAGGAACUAAAAAAACUUCUAAGCCAAGUAAUACUUGUACCUUUUGCAUUAUGGUUUAACUAUAAUAUACAAUAAUAAAGUCCCGAAGUAAGAAGAGCUGAACUAAUCCUGCUUGGAGCCCAGUAGUAUAUGUUGCAUCAUGUUUGCUAGAGAUUCUUCAGAGGCUACAUACCAUUCGCGCCUUAUUAUAGCUGGCUUUUCAUAAAACCUAUCAAAGUAGAUUAAACAUUAACAUGUUAUUUUAUAUGUUUGGGGCUAAGCUGAAACAUAAAUAAAUUUAUUCUUUUUUAAAAUUUUAUAUUACAAAUAGACCUAAUAUUGGCCUUAAAACUUUAUAAUUUCUAUCUAAAUAAAAAAAAUUUAUUAAUAAAAUAAAACUUCUAAUGAAAACCCUAGUUAACUAACAUCAAAAGAAACGCUGUUAAAAUUAGUAUUUCCUAAUCUUUUCUAUAAAAAUAAAUUAUUAGAAAAAUUUUUAGUAUAAUAAUAUAAAAAUAAGGAACUCGGCAAAUACUAGCUCCGGCUGUUUAUCAAAAACAUCGCCUCCAGAUAAUUUAUUGGAGGUCCAUUCUGCCCUAUGCCCUACGGGGUAAAUGGCCGCGGUAGCCUGACCGUGCUAAGGUAGCAUAAUCAUUUGCCGUUUAAUUGAUGGCUGGAAUGAAUGAAUAUACGAGAGCUAAGCUGUCUCAUUUUUACAAAUAAAAAUUGACCUUUAAGUGAAGAGACUUAAAUUUAAAAAAAAGACGAAAAGACCCUAUAGAGCUUUAUCUAAUUUAUAUGUAACAUAUAAUAAAGAUUUAGUUGGGGCAACUAGAGAGAAUCUAAAACCUCUCUUCAUUAAAAUAAAUAAUGAUCCGUUAUAACGAUAAGAAGAAAAAGCUACCUUAGGGAUAACAGGCUAAUCCUCUUUAAGAGACCAUAUUGACAAGAGGGAUUGGCACCUCGAUGUUGGCUCAAGGUUACAGUUUGAUGCAGCAGUCAAACUAAGUAGGUUUGUUCACCCUUUAAAUCCUUACGUGAGCUGAGUUCAGACCGACGUAAGUCAGGUCAGUUUUUAUCUUUUUAACUCCCUUCAAUUGUACGAAAGGACCUUGAUGGGGAAAUAUUUUCUAAUUUUGAUACCUAAUAACACAAGUUUAUAAAUAAUCUUAUU
rnacentral:rRNA from 1 species